rnacentral:rRNA from 1 species
GACGUAGGGCGCGAGCGUUGUCCGGAUUUAUUGGGCGUAAAGCGCUCGCAGGUGGUUCGUCGCGUCGUGCGUGAAAGACCCCGGCUCAACUGGGGAGUGUCGUGCGAUACGGGCGAACUGGAGGCCAGUAGGGGGAUGCGGAAUUCCGGGUGUAGUGGUGGAAUGCGUAGAGAUCCGGAGGAACACCAGCGGCGAAGGCGGCAUCCUGGACUGGUCCUGACACUCAGGAGCGAAAGCGUGGGGAGCGAUCCGG